AUCUAAGGCCAUGCCCCCUGAACGUGCCCGAUCUCGUCUGAUCUUGGAAGCUAAACAGGGUUGGGCCUGGUUAGUACUUGGAUGGGAGACCACCUAGGAAGACCAGAUGCUGUAGGCA
rnacentral:rRNA from 1 species